AACAAAAAACCAUUUCCGGGAAACACCAGACACGACCUUCCAUUCCCUCUCUUUCUCUCUUUCUCACUCACCAAAACCCUACCAGGAUUUUCCAAUUUUUUACUCUUGAACUAGGGCAACUCCAUUUAUAUUCCAGCAUCAAAUCCAAGUAAACGACGGGUUCUUCAAUGUCAAAAAAAAUUCCCGAGGAAAUCGACUUGAACUGUGAUGCUCUUCCGGUUGACCGAGAAAACGAGGAUAAUGAUGUGAAUGUUGAGGAGCCGGCCUCUGGGGCGGGUACUUCUUCAACCAAAACCCUAACAGAACGAACAGUUGAUGGGGUUAGGGUCUUUGGAAAGGGUAAUGAGUCGGCUGGUGGGAUUGAUGAGCAAGGGGAAGACAGCAAAGUGGAAAGUUUGAAACAUAAAGGGAUUGAUUUGGAAGCUGAUGUUGGAUCCUUAGGUGAAGAGGUUGAUGAUCAAGGUAGCGCCCGGUUUAGCUCGGGUGGGGAUUCUUUGAUGGAGGUCGAUGGAGGAUCAAGAGGACAUGGAGAUGGAGAGAGUGUUUCUAUGGAAGAGAAGAAACCAGCGGUGGCUGAUCAAAUUGCUGUGAGAUCUUCUGGUGGGGUAGCCGAGGAUCUUAAUGUUAGUGUGUGUCCUAAUGAGGACACGUUGAUAGAGGGGAAUUCUGUUAGUAUUCAGUUGAGCUCGUUUGCUGAUAAUACCAUUCAAUCUGGUAUUGCUCAUGAUUUAGGUUCUGGUGAUACGAAGCCUCUUUCUUCAGCAUUAGGUCCUGAAAACUCUUUACCUUACGGGGAGCAGAAUGUGAGUUCAAAGGAAGGAUCUUCUGGCAGAUUAGAAGGUCAGGAUAUGGAGAUUGAUACACCUGAUGAUACCAACAAAAGAAAUUUAAUUACUGCCAUCCAAGACGAAGGGGACAGGGUUUUUCAGAAUGCAGAAAACGGGUCUAAUCUGUUAAAUGAUGCGGUAGACUUGAAUCCAUACACAAGCACAGACGAUGAUGUAUCUGACGAUGUUGAUGUAAAACCGGAAAAACCAGAAGAACCUGAAUUUUGUGUCUCUGAUUUAGUCUGGGGUAAAGUAAGGAGUCAUCCUUGGUGGCCGGGACAAAUAUUUGAUCGUUCAGCUGCCACAGCAAAGGCGAAGAAGUAUUUUAAAAAGGACUGUUAUUUGAUUGCCUAUUUUGGUGACCAGACAUUUGCUUGGAAUGAAACAUCACGGAUCAAGCCCUUUAGGCCCCAUUUCUCACAUAUGGAAAAGCAGAACAAUAUGGAAGAGUUUCACUAUGCUAUUGAUUGUUCUUUAGAUGAGGUUUCUAGACGCGUGGAGUUUGGUCUGGCCUGUUCUUGCAUUUCCAAGGAAGCAUAUGCGGAGGUUCAAACUCAGAUAAUUGUUAAUACUGGGAUCCGGGAAGAAUCUAGUAGAAAAGAUGGUGGGGACAGAUUUUCAGGUGUUGCUUCUUUUGACCCUUUUGAACUUGUUGAGAGGAUAAAAGCACUGGCCCAAUCACCUUCUUAUAGCGAGGUUGACAGACUGCAAUUCAUAACAUCACAGGCACAAUUGUUGGCAUUCCAUCGCUGGAAGGGUUACUCUCAGCUACCUGAAUUUCAAAAUCUAUGCGGAUUGUUGGAGACUGAUGCGGAGAUACCUCUCUCCGAAGAAGAAAAGAAACAUUGUGAACUGAUUGGAGAUGAUUUUCCUAGUGUUGAAGUUGACAAGCAGGUGCUUUCUGAAAGAGAGAAGUCAGAGAGUCAAGAUGGCUCUUCUCAGAAACAAAAGAAAAUCCCAGGGGACGCUAAAGUUUCCAACAAAAAGGAGAAAAGCUUGUCAGAGUUGAUAGCUGAAAGGCGCUUGAAUAUGCAAAAUGGAAAAAGGAAAUUGAAUAAGAAAGCUGGUGACAAGUUAAGUGCUUCAUCCCCUGCUAAAAAACCAAAGGUGGUGGACUCUGUGCAGGAUAACUUGGCAUUGAAACAGAAUAGAAGUAAUGCAUCAACAGGGUCUGUUGAUAAGUCUCUGCAGUCUAAACAAACUUUCAGAGUUGGAGCUAGCAUACUUCGGGUUGCAAACCAACUGAAUGGUUCCAGUUCAACAGUUUCAACUCCAGUACUUAAGCAUGGUGAUGGGACAUCUCAAAAAAAGUCUGCAGUUAAUAAUAAAAGUAAAGGAAGAAAUUCGUCUGGUAAAUCUCCAGGGAAGACGGCUUUUCAAACAAAUAUGUUUUCCCCUGAUGAGAUGCUCUCACAGCUUUGCUUGGCUGCCACAAAUCCCCUGAAAGGGUAUAGUUUUUCGUCCUCUAUGGUUUUUUUCUUUAUGGAGUUGAGGAAUUCAAUUGCUAUGGAUCUUAACAGCUCUGAAAUGUCUGAACAAUCUUCAGAACAAGGAACUGAUGGUGAACUGGGGGAGAAUUCAACCAGGUUUGAAGUUACUGGAAAGUCUGAGUUGACUUCAAUCAAAGACACCUGUUGUUCUGAUAGGAUAAUCCAAUGCCUUCCUGAAGAGCAAUUAGCAGUUGACAACCACAACCAAACCACAGAGGUUUCUCCUGACACUCCCAGUGAAAAGGGUUUUUCUGUCAUUGAAUCGCAACCAGCUGCUCAGGCAAGUCGCAAUUUGAAUUCUGAACAGAAAUGUACAGUCACAGGUGAAAAUCUUGGAAUGGAAGCAGAGAAACGGAUAGAAUACUCAGAUGAAAGUUAUACAGAAGAUCUAUCUCCAACUGCUUUGAUUUUGAAUUUUUCAGACUUGGAAUCAGUUCCGUCAGUAGAAGACCUGAAUACGAUAUUUGGCCGUUAUGGGCCUUUGGUUGUGCCAGGGGCUGAAGUGUUGAAAAAGAGCAUCCGUGCCAGAGUGGUUUUUAAAAGACACGCAGAUGCAGAAACAGCUUUCAGCAGUUCUGGAAAAUACAGCAUUUUCGGACCCUCACUUGUUAGUUACCGCCUCAAGCGUCUGGCUUCUGCACCGCCUAAAUCAUCUCCAGUUGCAACUAAGCGAAGCAGAACAGAUGAAACAUGUGGAGAUGGAAGUACUUCUUGAUGCGAUGGAUUCUAGUCAAGUUGAUGUAAAGAGAGGUUAAGCAUUCACACUCAAGGGUUUCUUGCUGGAGCUUUGGGCUUGUUGAGGUGGUUCAGACAUACUUGAGAACUUCCAACAGCUUCAGAUGGAACAUGAUCUUGGCUCUUUGAACAUUCUCAUUCGUGAUGCUCAUCAUGAGUUGCGGGCAUCUUCCCCGACAUCUCAUUGGCCUGUAAUCAUGAGAUUUUAAGGGUGGCACCUGGCAGCGCCUUCCCAUCAUCACGUUACUGCUCAUCGAACAGGAAAUAUAACAUAGGCCGUAAAUCAUUCGUCAAAUUCAAUGCUUCCUUCUCAUUCCCUCCGGCCCAAGAUAAUUGGGUGGGUGAAAUAUUCACUUAAAUGAGGCGCAUUGAAGAAGUAAAAAAAAAAAAAAAAGCGGUAAAUUGUACUCUUUUUAUGACAGUUAAAAUAUGCGCAAGUUUUUCCUUAGGUUAAUUUGUGAAAAGGUUAAUUAUUUGGG